GGUGUGGAUGAUCAAGAAUGCUCUAAGGUUGCUUGGUUUUCUCCUCCAUGCGCCUAGGGGUCCCUUUUAUAGCCCCAAGGCAGCUAGGAGCCGUUGAGAGCAAAUCUGGAAGGCCAAUCUUGCCUUCUGUCGUCGGGUGCACCAAACAGUCCGGUGCACACCGGACACUGUCCGGUGCCCGAUUUCCUUCCUUAAACGGCGCAGCCGACCGUUGCAGAUCUGGGAGCCGCUGGCGCACCGGACAUGUCCGGUGCACACCGGACAGUCCGGUGCCCCUUCCGACCGUUGGCUCGGCCACGUGUCCCGCGCAGAUCGCGCGGCCGACCGUUGGCUCACCGGACAGUCCGGUGCACACCGGACAGUCCGGUGAAUUAUAGCCGUACGCCGUCGGUGAAUUCCCGAGAGCGGCCACUUCACGCCGAGUCAGCCUGGCGCACCGGACACUGUCCGGUGCACCACCGGACAGUCCGGUGUGCCAGACUGGGCUGAGUCUUGGCUGUACACAGCCAAGCUUUUUUCAUCUCUUUUCUUUUCUUCUUCUUUCUGUUUCUAACACUUAGACAAGUAUAUUAGUAUAAAAAACCAAUGUACCAAGGCUUAGAAACAUACCUUUACUCUUGAUUUGCACUUUGUUCACCCAUGAGCAUAAAUUCACAUUUAAGCACUUGUGUUGGCACUCAAUCACCAAAAUACUUAGAAAUGGCUCAAGGGCACAUUUCCCUUUCAAUCUCCCCCUUUUUGGUGAUUUAUGCCAACACAACAUAAAGCAACUAGAACAAGUGCAAAAUCACUUCAAAUAAAACUCAAAUUUAUUUUGAUUCAAUUUUGGCAUAUAUGGAUCAUCCUUUGCCACCACUUGGUUUGUUUUUGCAAAUCAAACUCAACUUUCUAUCUCUAAGUCAAACACACAUGUUAAGACAUAAAGAGAGGUAUUUCAAAGAAGUUUGAUCAAGAAUUUCAAAAACUCCCCCUUUUUCCCAUAAUCAAUACUUCUCCCCACAAGAAGCCAACUUUUGACAAAAGAGACAAUAAAAGAGUUUUUGACAAACCAAAAGCUCUACUCUACUAUUUUCAAAUCUCUCAAGUGGUAGCUGAUCCAUUUAUUGCUUUGGCCUUUAUUUUCUCCCCCUUUGGCAUCAAGCACCAAAACGGGAUCAAUCUUGGCCCUUUAACCCCAUUGCCUCACCAAAAUCUUCAAUUAAGAUCAAAUGGCAAUAAGAGUUCAUGAGAUGAACUUGGAAUAAGUUACCCUCUCAUCGGAGUGCAGUGGAAGUCUUUCAUGAUCCAAGUCCACCUUUUCCCUUUCAAUUCUCCUUCGAGACUAAAUCAAGCAUAACUCAAGCAUAUGAUUAGUCUCAAAGGGUCAAGUUGUAACACAACUCCCCCUAAAUAUGUGCAUCACUUACACAGGGACUUGUGAGGUCCAGGGAAUGUUUGUACAACUUGAGCACCACAAUAAGCAACAAAAUGCAGAAUGAACAUGAUCAAGGGCAUAAACACAUGUAUGCUACAAUUCAAUCCAAGUUCCGCGAAUCUAAGACAUUUAGCUCACUACGCAGCCUGCAAAAGGUCUUCUCAUCUAGAGGAUUGGUAAAGAUAUCGGCUAGCUGGUUCUCGGUGCUAACAUGAAACACUUUGAUAUCUCCCUUUUGCUGGUGGUCUCUCAAAAAGUGAUGUCGGAUGUCUAUGUGCUUUGUGCGGCUGUGCUCAACAGGAUUUUCCGCCAUGCGGAUAGCACUCUCAUUAUCACAUAGGAGUGGGACUUUGCUCAGAUUGUAGCCAAAGUCCCUGAGGGUUUGCCUCAUCCAAAGUAGUUGCGCGCAACACUGUCCUGCGGCAACAUACUCGGCCUCAGCGGUGGAUAGGGCAACGGAGGUUUGUUUCUUAGAGUUCCAUGACACCAGGGACCUUCCUAAGAAUUGGCACGUCCCCGAUGUACUCUUCCUAUCGACCUUACAUCCAGCAUAGUCGGAAUCUGAAUAUCCAAUUAAGUCAAAGGUAGACCCCUUUGGAUACCAGAGCCCGAAGCAAGGCGUAGCAACUAAAUAUCUAAGGAUUCGCUUCACCGCCACUAAGUGACAUUCCUUAGGAUCAGAUUGAAAUCUAGCACACAUGCAUACGCUAAGCAUAAUAUCCGGUCUACUAGCACAUAAAUAAAGUAAAGACCCUAUCAUUGACCGGUAUGCUUUUUGAUCAACGGACUUACCUCCUUUGUUGAGGUCGGUGUGUCCGUCGGUUCCCAUUGGAGUCUUUGUGGGCUUGGCGUCCUUCAUCCCAAACCGCUUUAGCAGGUCUUGCGUGUACUUCGUUUGAGAGAUGAAGGUGCCGUCCUUGAGUUGCUUCACUUGGAACCCAAGGAAGUAGUUCAACUCGCCCAUCAUUGACAUCUCGAAUUUCUGCGUCAUCACCCUGCUAAACUCUUCACAAGACUUUUUAUUAGUAGAACCAAAUAUUAUGUCAUCGACAUAAAUUUGGCACACAAAAAGAUCACCGUCACAAGUCUUAGUGAAAAGAGUUGGAUCGGCUUUCCCAACAUUGAAAGCAUUAGCAAUUAAGAAAUCUCUAAGGCAUUCAUACCAUGCUCUUGGGGCUUGCUUAAGUCCAUAGAGCGCCUUAGAGAGCUUACACACAUGGUCGGGGUACCGUUCAUCCUCGAAGCCAGGGGGUUGCUCUACGUACACCUCCUCCUUGAUUGGCCCGUUGAGGAAAGCGCUCUUCACAUCCAUUUGGAACAACCUGAAAGAAUGGUGAGCGGCAUAUGCUAGCAAGAUGCGAAUGGACUCUAGCCUAGCCACAGGAGCAAACGUCUCCUCAAAGUCCAAACCUGCGACUUGGGCAUAACCUUUUGCCACAAGUCGAGCCUUGUUCCUUGUCACCACUCCGUGCUCGUCCUGUUUGUUGCGGAACACCCACUUGGUUCCCACAACGUUUUGCUUGGGACGAGGCACCAGUGUCCAAACUUCAUUGCGCUUGAAGUUGUUGAGCUCCUUUUGCAUGGCCAACACCCAGUCCGGAUCUAGCAAGGCCUCUUCUACCCUGAAAGGCUCAAUAGAAGAGACAAAGGAGUAAUGUUCACAAAAAUUAACUAAUCGAGACCGAGUAGUUACUCCCUUGCUAAUGUCACCCAGAAUUUGGUCGACGGGAUGAUCCCUUUGAAUCAUCGCUCGAACUUGGGUUGGAGGUGCCGGUUCCGCUUCUUCCUCCAUCACAUGAUCAUCUUGUGCUCCCCCUUGAUCACACGCCUCCUGUUGAUGAACCUGUUCAUCGUCUUGAGUUGGGGGAUGCACCAUAGUUGAGGAAGAAGGUUGAUCUUGUUCAUCAUGUUCCUGUGGCUGCACUUCUCCAAUCGCUAUGGUUCGUAUAGCGGCCGUCGGAACAUCUUCUUCAUCAUCACAAUCAACGACUUGCUCUCUUGGAGAGCCAUUAGUCUCAUCAAAUACAACGUCGCUAGAGACUUCAACCAAACCCGAUGAUUUGUUGAAGACUCUAUACGCCUUUGUAUUUGAGUCAUAACCUAACAAAAACCCUUCUACAGCUUUGGGAGCAAACUUAGAAUUUCUACCCUUCUUCACUAGAAUGUAGCAUUUACUCCCAAAAACACGAAAGUACGAUACAUUGGGUUUGUUACCGGUUAGUAGCUCAUACGACGUCUUCUUGAGGAGACGAUGAAGGUAGACCCUGUUGAUGGCGUGGCAAGCCGUGUUCACAGCUUCCGACCAAAAGCACUCGGGGGUCUUGAACUCUCCUAGCAUCGUCCUUGCCAUAUCAAUGAGCGUCCUGUUCUUCCUCUCUACCACACCAUUUUGUUGUGGUGUGUAGGGAGCAGAGAACUCGUGCUUGAUCCCUUCUUCCUCAAGGAACUCUUCCACUUGAAGGUUCUUGAAUUCGGACCCGUUGUCGCUCCUUAUCUUCUUCACCUUGAGCUCAAACUCAUUUUGAGCUCUCCUUAGGAAGCGCUUGAGGGUCCCUUGAGUUUCAGACUUAUCCUGCAAAAAGAACACCCAAGUGAAGCGGGAAAAAUCAUCAACAAUAACUAGACCAUACUUACUUCCCCCUAUGCUUAGAUAGGCGACGGGUCCGAAGAGAUCCAUAUGCAGCAGCUCCAGGGGCCUUGAUGUGGUCAUCACAUUCUUGCUGUGAUGUGCUCCUCCCACCUGUUUACCUGCUUGACAUGCUGCACAAGGUCUAUCUUUUUCGAAUUGCACGUUAGUUAAACCUAUCACAUGUUCUCCCUUUAGAAGCUUGUGAAGGUUCUUCAUCCCCACAUGUGCUAAGCGGCGAUGCCACAGCCAGCCCAUGCUAGUCUUAUCGAUUAAGCAUGCAUCUAGACCGGCCUCUUCUUUUGCAAAAUCAACUAAAUAAAGUUUGUCGUCUAAUACACCCUUAAAAGCUAGUGAACCAUCACUUCUUCUAAAGACAGACACAUCUACAUUUGUAAAUAGACAGUUAUACCCCAUAUUGCAUAAUUGACUAACCGAUAGCAAAUUAUAUCCAAGAGACUCUACUAAAAACACAUUAGAGAUAGAGUGCUCAUUAGAAAUUGCAAUUUUACCUAACCCUUUUACCUUGCCUUGAUUCCCAUCACCGAAUAUAAUUGAAUCUUGGGAAUCCUUAUUCUUGACGUAGGAGGUGAACAUCUUCUUCUCCCCCGUCAUAUGGUUUGUGCAUCCACUGUCGAUAAUCCAGCUUGAACCCCCGGAUGCAUAAACCUGCAAGGCAAAUUUAGGCUUGGGACUUAGGUACCCAACUCUUGUUGGGUCCUACAAGGUUAGUCACAAUUAUCUUAGGGACCCAAAUGCAAGUUUUAUCUCCCUUGCAUUUUGCCCCUAAUUUCCUAGCAACUAUUUUUCUAUCCUUUCUACAAAUAGCAAAGGAAGCAUUUAAAGCACAAUAAAUUGUAGAAGGUUCAUUCACUACUUUCCUAGGAGCAUGAAUAAUAUUCUUUCUAGGCACAUGAUGAAUAGCAUUUCUCCUAGACAUAUUUCUACCAUGCAUAUAGGAAGAACUAGAAGCAAACAUGGCAUGAGAGUCAAAAUCAUCAUAAGCAUUAUAAUUCCUAUAGGCAUUUCUAGUUUGUCUCUUAUCAUGGUACAUAAACGCAUGGUUCUUUUGCAGACUACUAGCCAUAGGGGCCUUCCCUUUCUCCUUGGCGGGAAUGGGAGCCUUAUGGCUCGUUAAGUUCUUGGCUUCUCUCUUGAAGCCAAGUCCAUCCUUAAUUGAGGGGUGUCUACCAAUCGUGUAGGCAUCCCUUGCAAAUUUUAGCUUAUCAAAAUCACUUUUGCUAGUCUCAAGUUGAGCAUUAAGACUAGCUACCUCUUCAUUUAAUUUAGAAAUGCAAGCUAGGUGUUCACUAUAAGCAUCAAUGUUAAUAUCUUUACACCUAGUGCACGUUACAACAUUUUCUACACAAGAGAUAGAUUUACUAGCAAUCUCUAACUUGGCAUUCAAAUCAUCAUUAAUGCUCCUUAAUUUAGAAAUUGUCUCAUGGCAAGAAGAUAAUUCACAAGAAAGCAUUUCAUUUCUUUUAACUUCUAGAGCAUGAGAUCUUUGUGCUUCUACAAAUUUAUCAUGUUCUUCAUACAACAAAUCCUCUUGCUUUUCUAAAAGCAUAUUCUUAUCAUUCAAGGCAUCAAUUAAUUCAUUAAUUUUGUCUACCUUGGUUCUAUCUAGGCCCUUAAACAAACAUGAGUAAUCUACUUCAUCCUCAUCACUAGAUUCGUCCUCACUUGAAGAAGCAUAGGUAGAGUUUCGAGUACAUACCUUCUUCUCCCUUGCCAUAAGGCAUGUGUGACGCUCGUUGGGGAAGAGGGUUGAUUUGUUGAAGGCGGUGGCGGCGAGUCCUUCAUUGUCGGAGUCGGAAGAGGAGCAGUCCGAGUCCCACUCCUUGCCUAGAUGCGCCUCGCCCUUUGCCUUCUUAUAGUUCUUCUUCUUCUCCCUCUUGUUGCCUUGAUCCUGAUCACUAUCAUUGUCGGGACAGUUAGCAAUAAAAUGACCAAGCUUACCACAUUUGAAGCAUGAGCGCUUCCCCUUUGUCUUGGUCUUGCUUGGCUGCCCUUUGCGGCCUUUUAGUGCCGUCUUGAAUCUCUUGAUGAUGAGAGCCAUCUCUUCAUCAUUAAGUCCGGCUGCCUCAAUUUGUGCCACCUUGCUAGGUAGCAUCUCCUUGCUCCUUGUUGCCUUGAGAGCAAGAGGUUGAGGCUCAUUGAUUGGACCGUUUAGAGCGUCGUCGACGUAUCUCGCCUCCUUGAUCAUCAUCCGCCCGCUUACGAAUUUUCCGAGUACCUCUUCGGGCGUCAUCAUCGUGUACCUGGGAUUCUCACGAAUAUUGUUUACGAGAUGAGGAUCAAGAACGGUAAAGGACCUUAGCAUUAGGCGGACGACGUCGUGGUCCGUCCAUUGCGUGCUUCCAUAGCUCCUUAUUUUGUUGAUAAGGGUCUUGAGCCGGUUGUAAGUUUGGGUUGGCUCCUCUCCCCUUAUCAUUGCGAAUCGUCCAAGCUCGCCCUCCACCAACUCCAUUUUAGUGAGCAUGGUGAUGUCGUUCCCCUCGUGAGAGAUCUUGAUGGUGUCCCAUAUCUGCUUGGCGUUGUCCAAGCCGCUCACCUUAUUGUACUCUUCCCUGCACAAAGAUGCUAAUAGAACAGUAGUAGCUUGUGCAUUUCUAUGGAUUUGUUCAUUUAUAAGCAUAGGGCUAUCCGAGCUAUCAAAUUUCAUUCCAUUCUCUACAAUCUCCCAUAUGCUUGGAUGGAGAGAGAAUAAGUGACUACGCAUUUUGUGACUCCAAAAUCCGUAGUCCUCCCCAUCGAAGUGUGGAGGUUUGCCAAGAGGAAUGGAAAGCAAAUGCGAAUUCGAACUAUGUGGAAUACGAGAAUAAUCAAAUGAAAAGUUCGAAUUGACCGUCUUCCUGUAGUCGUUGUCGUCGUCCUUUUGGGAAGAAGUAGACUCAUCGCUAUCGUCGUAGUAGACGAUCUCCUUGAUGCGCCUUGUCUUCUUCUUCUUCCCAUCUUUUCGCUUGUGGCCCGAGCCCGAGUCAGUAGGCUUGUCAUCCUUCGGCUCGUUGACGAAGGACUCCUUCUCCUUGUCGUUGAUCACGAUUCCCUUCCCCUUAGGAUCCAUCUCUUCGGGCGAUUAGUCCCUUCUUGAAGAGAACGGCUCUGAUACCAAUUGAGAGCACCUAGAGGGGGGGUGAAUAGGUGAUCCUGUGAAACUUAAACUUAUAGCCACAAAAACUUGUUAAGUGUUAGCACAAUAGUUGCCAAGUGGCUAGAGAUGAGUCCAAACACAAUAACCACACGAAAUCAAACACAGAGAUGGCACGGUGUUUUAUCCCGUGGUUCGGCCAAGUACAAAACUUGCCUACUCCAUGUUGUGGCGUCCCAACGGACGAGAGUUGCACUCAACUCCUCUCAAGUGAUCCAAUGAUCAACUUGAAUACCACGGUGUUCUUCUUUACUUUGAUCUUUUCCCGUUUGCGAGGAAUCUCCACAACUUGGAGUCUCUCGCCCUUACAAUUGAAUUUCACAAAGAAGUACGGAGUAAGGGAGAGAAGCAACACACACAAAUCCACAGCAAAAUGCGCACACACACGACCAAGAAUCGAGCUCAAAAGACUAUCUCAAAGUUCUCACUAGAACGGAGCUCGAAUUACUGAGAAUGACAAAUGAAUGCGCAAAGACUGAGUGUGGAUGAUCAAGAAUGCUCUAAGGUUGCUUGGUUUUCUCCUCCAUGCGCCUAGGGGUCCCUUUUAUAGCCCCAAGGCAGCUAGGAGCCGUUGAGAGCAAAUCUGGAAGGCCAAUCUUGCCUUCUGUCGUCGGGUGCACCGGACAGUCCGGUGCACACCGGACACUGUCCGGUGCCCGAUUUCCUUCCUUAAACGGCGCAGCCGACCGUU
rnacentral:lncRNA from 1 species